AUUGAACGCUGGCGGCAGGCCUAACACAUGCAAGUCGAGCGGUAGAGAGAAGCUUGCUUCUCUUGAGAGCGGCGGACGGGUGAGUAAUGCCUAGGAAUCUGCCUGGUAGUGGGGGAUAACGUUCGGAAACGGACGCUAAUACCGCAUACGUCCUACGGGAGAAAGCAGGGGACCUUCGGGCCUUGCGCUAUCAGAUGCGCCUAGGUCGGAUUAGCUAGUUGGUGGGGUAAUGGCUCACCAAGGCGACGAUCCGUAACUGGUCUGAGAGGAUGAUCAGUCACACUGGAACGGAGAAACGGUCCAGACUCCUACGGGAGGCAGCAGUGGGGAAUAUUGGACAAUGGGCGAAAGCCUGAUCCAGCCAUGCCGCGUGUGUGAAGAAGGUCUUCGGAUUGUAAAGCACUUUAAGUUGGGAGGAAGGGCAGUAAAUUAAUACUUUGCUGUUUUGACGUUACCGACAGAAUGAGCACCGGCUAACUCUGUGCCAGCAGCCGCGGUAA
rnacentral:rRNA from 1 species